UACGUAGGGUGCGAGCGUUAAUCGGAAUUACUGGGCGUAAAGUGUGCGCAGGCGGCGCCGCAAGUCGAGUGUGAAAGCCCCGAGCUUAACUUGGGAAUUGCGCUCGAAACCAUGGUGCUGGAGUGUGGCAGAGGAAGGUGGAAUUCCACGUGUAGCGGUGAAAUGCGUAGAGAUGUGGAGGAACACCGAUGGCGAAGGCAGCCUUCUGGGCCAACACUGACGCUCAUGCACGAAAGCGUGGGGAGCAAACAGG
rnacentral:rRNA from 1 species